rnacentral:rRNA from 2 species
ACGCGGCCCCGCACUCCCGGGGCGUCUCGUUCUCAUUGCGAGAAGAGGCGCACCCAGAGCGUACACGCUGGGACCCGAAAGAUGGUGAACUAUGCCUGGUCAGGACGAAGUCAGGGGAAACCCUGAUGGAGGUCCGUAGCGAUUCUGACGUGCAAAUCGAUCGUCGGAACUGGGUAUAGGGGCGAAAGACUAAUCGAACCAUCUAGUAGCUGGUUCCCUCCGAAGUUUCCCUCAGGAUAGCUGGCGCUCGCUUUUGCGAGUCUCAUCCGGUAAAGCGAAUGAUUAGAGGCAUUGGGGUCGAAACGGCCUCAACCUAUUCUCAAACUUUAAAUGGGUGAGAUCUCCGGCUUGCUCAAACUUGAAGCCGCGAGAUUAACUUAAUAUAAGGAUCAGAGUGCCAAGUGGGCCACUUUUGGUAAGCAGAACUGGCGCUGUGGGAUGAACCAAACGCAGAGUUAAAGCGCCAAAAUCGACGCUUAUGGGAUACCAUGAAAGGCGUU